GGCAGGUUGAAGUUUCCAGGGAUCAGAAAUGUCCCCUAGGAGAGAGGCAGGUUGAGGUUUCCAGGGUUAGAAAUGUCCCCUAGGAGAGAGGCAGGUUGAGGUUUCCAGGGAUCAGAAAUGUCCCCUAGGAGAGAGGCAGGUUGAGGUUUCCAGGGUUAGAAAUGUCCCCUAGGAGAGAGGCAGGUUGAGGUUUCCAGGGUUAGAAAUGUCCCCUAGGAGAGAGGCAGGUUGAGGUUUCCAGGGUUAGAAAUGUCCCUUAGGAGAGAGGCAGGUUGAGGUUUCCAGGGAUCAGAAAUGUCCCCUAGGAGAGAGGCAGGUUGAGGUUUCCAGGGUUAGAAAUGUCCCCUAGGAGAGUAGAGCAGAAGUUGUGUUGAGGCAGUGAAGAAAGUAGAGGAAGAUGGGUUAGGGGAGAAGAAGGGUGAGAGUAGUAGAGAUAACCCAGUAGCGAGGAAUAGACGGACUACAACAUUGUACUGGAACCCCCUCCCCCCCUCCUCCUUCCCUCCUGAGACCUGCUGGGUGAGGGUUUCCGCUCUUCACCCCCGGUGUCCGUUCAGCCGAUAUUUCACCAGCGCCGUUAAACCGGUUCGGAGAGGAGACGGAAUGAGAGGCUGUUCGGGAGCUGCUUUACUCACUUCUCUGUUGGUAAGCAGAACAACACGUGGUGUUUCAAUGUGUUUUAUUAUAAACUCCUCUAACGUUGCCGGUAUACCGGUUCGGUUCUGACUUGUGAUGGAUGUUCUUGUGGAGUUACUGUAUCAAGCGACGUUUCUGACGGAUAAAUGUCUCUCUGAUGCGUUUCAAAACGGAACCGCAGUCCUGGAGACCUACUGGGGUUGUGCAUGUUUUGGUUCCAGCCCAGCAUUAAUAACAAGCAGGAUUACUCAUCAACGGUCUAUGGUUUCUGCACCUUCAAUAAAACGUGCUCCCAGUUGUUCUCCAGAGGAGAGGAUUUGGACAAUCUGCAGAAACCGAAACUAGUUUACUACUUUGGUUCUGACCUCUCUUUUGUUGAUGUAGCUGUAAAACAAAAUGAGUUCAACUAGUUAUAACAACUGGAAGCAGCUAGUUAGCAGCUAGUUAUCAGCAGCUAGUUAUCAGCUAGUUAUCAGCUAGUUAUAACAACUGGAAGCAGCUAGUUAUCAGCUAGUUAUCAGCAACUGAAAGUAGCUAGUUAUCAGCUAGUUAUCAGUGUUGGGUCGCGUCAAUUCGAAUCUGGUAUCAGAACAGAAUUUUCACUAGGCUACUGAAUAUAUUUUCAGCUGUUUAUUAAUAGAAUUAGUCAAGCAGAAUAAAUGGUAAAUGCAAUCUUCGUAUAUACGGGUUCACUGUCACACCUCGCAGGGCAAAACAGAGAACUGAGUGACACAUCCUUUGCUUUUCAUUAAAUACUCUGACAGAGAUAGUUCCCGCUCACUGCUGGCCUGUCAGAGGGAGGAUGAGCGCGGUUUAAACUUACUCAUCCUAUCGUUGGCGUGCAGGCUGGUCCCAGCCUCUAGACGCAUCACUGUUGCCAAGCAUAGUUGUCUUCUAGCUUAUCUUCGUGUGUGUACCCGAGAGUCAGACACCCAAGGACAGUGUCUGUUUUUAUGCUACAGUUAGGACAGUUUCUGCUUUUGCGCUACAGCUAUCUUCCAUUCUACCAGCCCCUCCCGUACACCUGUUCUUGAGCGGCCCCACAACCAGGCAUUGUGUGUGUGUGUGUCACGAGUCUACUCAGCCUACAUUCCUACUAGCCAGCAACCCUCCAGUUAGUCAUGUCUAUUAUAUGUCGCUCAAUCUAUGUUAAUACAAUAUAAACCUCUUAGUGCAUUACAGUCCGUUCAUACUUAGGCCUACAUCUACUGUAAAUGGCAUCACAUCUAAUAAGUGAAAUAAAACCCAACAUCAGCUAGUUAUCAGCAACUGAAAGUAGCUAGUUAUCAGCUAGUUAUCAGCAACUGAAAGUAGCUAGUUAUCAGCUAGUUAUCAGCUAGUUAUCAGCUAGUUAUCAGCAACUGAAAGUAGCUAGUUAUCAGCUAGUUAUCAGCAACUGAAAGUAGCUAGUUAUCAGCUAGUUAUCAGCAACUGAAAGUAGCUAGUUAUCAGCUAGUUAUCAACAACUGAAAGUAGCUAGUUAUCAGCUAGUUAUCAGCUAGUUAUCAGCAGCUAGUUAUCAGCUAGUUAUCAGCAGCUAGUUAUCAGCAGCUAGUUAUCAGCUAGUUAUCAGCAGCUAGUUAUCAGCAACUGAAAGUAGCUAGUUAUGAGCUAGUUAUGAGCUAGUUAUCAGCUAGUUAUCAGCUAGUUAUCAACAACUGAAAGUAGCUAGUUAUCAGCUAGUUAUCAGCUAGUUAUCAGCAGCUAGUUAUCAGCUACUAGUUAUCAGCUAGUUAUCAGCAGCUAGUUAUCAGCUAGUUAUCAGCAGCUAGUUAUCAGCAGCUAGUUAUCAGCAGCUAGUUAUCAGCAGCUAGUUAUCAGCUAGUUAUCAGCUAGAUAUCAG
rnacentral:lncRNA from 1 species